rnacentral:rRNA from 1 species
CCUACGUGAGGCAGCAGUGGGGACUAUUGCACAAUGGGGGAAACCCUGAUGCAGCGACGCCGCGUGACGGAAGAAGUAUUUCGGUAUGUAAACUUCUAUCAGCAGGGAAGUACGUGACGGUACCUGACUAAGAAGCCCCGGCUAUCUACGUGCCAGCAGCCGCGGUAAUACGUAGGGGGCAAGCGUUAUCCGGCUUUACUGGGUGUAAAGGGAGCGUAGGCGGCGAUGCAAGGCAGAUGUGAAAUCCUGGGGCGCAACUCCGGGAGUGUUUUUGAAACUGUAUGGCUAGAUUGCAGGAGAGGCAAGUGGAAUGCGUAGUGUAGCGGUGAAAUGCGUAGAUAUUAGGAGGAACACCAGUGGCGAAGGCGGCUUGCUGGACUGUAAAUGACGCUGAGGCUCGAAAGCGUGGGGAGCAAACAGGAUUAGAUACCCCUGUAGUC